GGAUGUGAGGGCGAUCUGGCUGCGACAUCUGUCACCCCAUUGAUCGCCAGGGUUGAUUCGGCUGAUCUGGCUGGCUAGGCGGGUGUCCCCUUCCUCCCUCACCGCUCCAUGUGCGUCCCUCCCGAAGCUGCGCGCUCGGUCGAAGAGGACGACCAUCCCCGAUAGAGGAGGACCGUUCUUCGGUCAAGGGUAUACGAGUAGCUGCGCUCCCCUGCUAGAACCUCCAAACAAGCUCUCAAGGAGUAAGUAAAGUGGUAGGGUGCUUGCCUAGCAAGGGCAAGGCCAUGGUUCAAUUCCCAGGACAACACACAAAGUAAGUUGUCUUUU
rnacentral:snRNA from 1 species